GGCGAACGCUGGCGGCGUGCUUAACACAUGCAAGUCGAACGGAAAGGCCUGCUUUCCCUUGUGGAUUGCGGGUACUCGAGUGGCGAACGGGUGAGUAACACGUGAGUGAUCUGCCCCCAACUUGGGUAUAAGCCUGGGAAACUGGGUCUAAUUCCCGAUAGGACUGCAGGGUGGUGCCUGUGGUGGAAAACGAUUUUCUAGUGGUUGGGGAUGAGCUCGCGGCCUAUCAGCUUGUUGGUGGGGUAAUGGCCUACCAAGGCGGCGACGGGUAGCCGGCCUGAGAGGGUGGACGGCCACAUUGGGACUGAGAUACGGCCCAGACUCCUACGGGAGGCAGCAGUGGGGAAUAGUGCACAAUGGGCGGAAGCCUGAUGCAGCGACGCCGCGUGGGGGAUGACGGCCUUCGGGUUGUAAACUCCUUUCGACCGCGAGGAAGCCACCUGGUUGGAAGGGUGGUGACGGUAGUGGUAGAAGAAGCACCGGCUAACUACGUG
rnacentral:rRNA from 1 species